CGAGCGGCGGACGGGUGAGUAACACGUGGGUAACCUGCCCAAGAGACUGGGAUAACACCUGGAAACAGAUGCUAAUACCGGAUAACAACACUAGACGCAUGUCUAGAGUUUGAAAGAUGGUUCUGCUAUCACCCUUGGAUGGACCUGCGGUGCAUUAGCUAGUUGGUAAGGUAACGGCUUACCAAGGCAAUGAUGCAUAGCCGAGUUGAGAGACUGAUCGGCCACAUUGGGACUGAGACACGGCCCAAACUCCUACGGGAGGCAGCAGUAGGGAAUCUUCCACAAUGGACGAAAGUCUGAUGGAGCAACGCCGCGUGAGUGAAGAAGGGUUUCGGCUCGUAAAGCUCUGUUGGUAGUGAAGAAAGAUAGAGGUAGUAACUGGCCUUUAUUUGACGGUAAUUACUUAGAAAGUCACGGCUAACUACGUGCCAGCAGCCGCGGUAAUACGUAGGUGGCAAGCGUUGUCCGGAUUUAUUGGGCGUAAGGCGAGUGCAGGCGGUUCAAUAAGUCUGAUGUGAAAGCCUUCGGCU
rnacentral:rRNA from 1 species